rnacentral:piRNA from 1 species
UGACCUAAGUAAAUAUUUACCUCUGCCAGU